CAUGACUGGGGUGAAGUCG
rnacentral:rRNA from 1 species